AUGAUUGAAAAAUAUGGGCUGCAGAAGAACCCAUUCCUCACCCAGCGGUAUGAGGUGAGGAGGAAGUGGGCAAAGCCAUACUUCAUGGGCGUUUUCCGUGCGAAGAUGACAAGCACACGGCGCAGUGAGAGUGCAAAUGACCUCCUGAAAGGGUAUGUGCCGAAUGAUGCCCAAUGCAUUUUUUUGUUAGUAAGCAUGAGAAGAUGCAAUUUGAUCGCGGUUUCGAAGAGAACUAUCAGGAGAAGAGGACUAGACUAG
rnacentral:rRNA from 1 species